GCCUGGGUAGCCCAACUGGAAGAGGCGCGUGUCUUAGAAACACGAUGUUGAGGGUUCGACUCCCUCCCGAGGUA
rnacentral:tRNA from 1 species